GCUGGCAACUGAUCAGAUAUUCUACACUCAACGGAAACUUCCAUGUGUGUACUAAUAAUCUCUGCUUAAUAUCUGAUGCCUUU
rfam:Triticum aestivum genome assembly, contig: Triticum_aestivum_CS42_TGACv1_scaffold_342769_4DL